rnacentral:rRNA from 1 species
CUCAACCUGGGAACUGCAUUGGUGACUGGCAGGCUAGAGUAUGGCAGAGGGGGGUAGAAUUCCACGUGUAGCAGUGAAAUGCGUAGAGAUGUGGAGGAAUACCGAUGGCGAAGGCAGCCCCCUGGGCCAAUACUGACGCUCAUGCACGAAAGCGUGGGGAGCAAACGGGAUUAGAUACCCUGGUAGUCCACGCCCUAAACGAUGUCAACUAGUUGUUGGGGAUUCAUUUCCUUAGUAACGUAGCUAACGCGUGAAGUUGACCGCCUGGGGAGUACGGUCGCAAGAUUAAAACUCAAAGGAAUUGACGGGGACCCGCACAAGCGGUGGAUGAUGUGGAUUAAUUCGAUGCAACGCGAAAAACCUUACCUACCCUUGACAUGGUCGGAAUCCCGCUGAGAGGUGGGAGUGCUCGAAAGAGAAGCG